ensembl:lincRNA uncharacterized LOC102010640
AGAGGAUCUGGAAUGUGUUAAAGUUCCGGCCAAGAGAAUGAAGGUUGUCAAAGAAAAAUGUCAGGCACAGACUGCAAAAAGACAGAGCUGUCUCCUCCGAAAGCUGCUGCCUCCAGUCCAGUGAAAACCAGGAAGACUGGAAAGUAAUGUCCCCUAGACACACUGACAGCCCUGUGCAGUCUUCCUCUUGGGGCUGCAGACUUCUAAAAUAUUGCGGCAGAUUCUGCUCCCCAGGUCCCGAUGCCCCACUCCAUUAUAAGGGGAUGAAAUUGAGUAUCUUCAAAUCUGGGUACGAUGGACCAGAGAGGUUUAUUUUGGAUCAUGGUCCUGCAAGCUGGAAAAACCAAGAUCAGGUGGCCACAUCUGGGGAGAGCCUCAAUCUGUAUCAACUCCUGGAGGAAAACAGAAGGUGAAGUGGGUGUGUGCAAAAGAAAAGCAAGUUCAAAAGAGAGGGGAGGCACCAGCCUCACUUGAUAGCAACCCACUUUUGGAAGAAUGAAGCUUUUCUUACAAGACCUUAUCUAGCCACUGGAAAAAGACACUAAUCCACUCACCAGGUUGGUACCCCAGGGACCCAGUCACCUUUCAAAGGCCCCACCUCCAAACACUGCUGCUUUGGCAACCAAACAUCAACAUGAGUUUUGGCAGAGACAAGCCACGCCUAAACCACAGCUGGAAUACAUGCUAAUGAUUGUCUCAUGAGAACACGCGUGUGUACUCAGUCCAUAAGUUUGACGAGACUGUCUCUCUCUCUUGUCUGUAGCUAAAAGCAAAGCUGAGUUCCCUACUUAUAACUUCAAAUGACUGCCUGCUUCAGUCUUCACUUUGUUUUGUUCCCAUUGUGACCAAAGAGCCCUGGUCAUUUCUGUUACUGUCUUACUGCUGAGGAAAUCAGCAAUAAUUCUUGCAGUUAAAUAGAAUGUUUUGCAAUUAGAACACUCACUUUCCUUCUACUCUUGCAAGCAGGGAAGAAUGCAAAAGGUUCUAUUUAAAGAGCCUCAAAGAGCAUUUUGGUGUCAGGUGGGACUGAAGAAAGCACUGAAGCUCUUCCCCCAGGGAGGGAGAAGUAGAUUUGAGCAGGGCAUGAUGGGUGACCAGGUUUGCUAGUGAGACUAACAGAGAAGGAUGGUGGUAGAGGUGGGUGUUAGUUUGGCAGGACUUAGGCAGUAAACACCCCCACUGCAGCCCCUGAGCAAAUUCUCCACCCCUGCAAUGACAUCAGGGACCUAGGAGGUGAGAUGAAGUCUCAACUUUCAAUUUGUGCACCCUGAACAGUGUGGUGAGACUGUGACACCUUAUCAAAGAACUAUCAGCAGUGAAACCCAGUAUGUGAGCAGCCUGGGGAUAAGGACAAGGAAAGAAAUACUCUUGCAGGGUGCAGCUUCCCCCUGAACAUUGCUCAGGGCUCUGGUAGAGACUGAAUUUAAGGGCCCACAGCCUCCCCCUUUCCCUUUCCCUGAUCCCAGCCCCAGAGAGAGCCAAGAACCAGCUUUUGCUGAGACACGUCUCUGAAACAAGAAGCAGGAAAGAAAGCUGAAUUUCCUAGCUGCCCCUCUUUUUCUUAGUCAGACCCCCGUAGGUUAACAAAGAGCCCCAGUAGGUCGAUGAAAAGGAAUUCUAUAAGAAGGAAGAAGGAGGCUCAGCUCCACUCUUGUGUUAUUAAAAGCAUGUUGAAUUUGCAGAGUAUCAGAGAUGGUUAUAUUCAGUCAGAGGUAGCAAAGUAUUUUCUGAAAUCACUCUCACAUGUGCACACUUACAAACACAUGGGAUGCACUUCCUAAUUUGGAUAGUCAGAAGCUGACAAUGGUAGCUGAUGCUAAAUCAGAAGCUCCCUAUGUUACAGGAAGGCAAUCAAGAGACGGAGGGAGGGGGAGGGGAAAGAGGGAACAGCAAAGGAAAGAGAAUUAAGAUGUGUAAUGUACAGGUACCAACCAACUCCCUACAAUUAACAUAAUUGUUAUGUACUCCAAACAUGUACUAAUAAAUUUUUUAAUUAAAAAAAUAAAAGUGUAUCCCAUAGAGCUACACUUUUGUAGAACUUUGUAUUUACCUAAUGUUAAUAAACUACCACUAGUUACUUUUUCUCUUAAAAAAAAAAAAAACAGAAAGAAAC